UUGAGUUUGUGUGUAUUUGUGAUUGUGUGUGUGUGUGGGUUCUGCAAUGUGUGUGUGUGUGUGUGUACAUGAGUGUUUGCGUCAUCUGUUGUUUAAUUCGCCCAGUGUAUCCUAUCUCUCUCUCUCUCCCUCUCUCUUUUUAUUUCCCUUUCCCUCUCCCUCUAUUUUUCUCUCUGCUGCUUAACACAAUGCACCGUUUAGUUUCUCUCUUUCUCUUUCCCCUUCUUCAACUCUCUCCAUUAGUAAUCACAGGAUGGUGUUUCUCUCUAUGUAACACCAAGGGACAAAAAAGCUAAGAUAAUGAACAGUAAACAAAAACAAGCUAGAGGAAAAGUUGCACCUGUCUGGUUCUUGUGUACAGCCUGUUUCUAGAACGGGAGCAGGUCUGAACAUGCCCUGUGAGGGGGCCUCUGGGAACUCCACUUGUCAAGGUCUGUAGGUGCUCUAUCCCGAUCACUUACUUUCUAUUCAACUGCAUGUCAAGUUCAACAGCAUUAUGGUUGGCAUACAAAAACAUAUUCUACAAACUAUAAACAAUGUUUAUCAUCAUACGUAUACAGGGGUAAGGAGUAACUGAUUAGAUGUAAUCAGUUACUUGUAAUCUGAUUACAAAACUGUAACUGUAAUCAGUUACAUUGCCAGCAAAAAUACUGUAGUCAGAUAGUCUUUUGCACAACGUAGCAACGCCCACUUCCGCUCAACUUCCUACCCGAUACAUAGCUUCCUCUCCCGAUUGCGACCUGUCAGACUGAUUGUAGCCAUACUAGCCUCGAAGUCGCUCGUUUUAUCAUUAAUAUACAGAGGUAAUCAGUAUAUUAAUAUAAUCAUAUUUCUAUCAUGUUUCUAUUUAUUGUGUUCUGUCUUUUUUUGUCUCUUAGCUAGCUAGCUAUUAACGCGCUAACUAGUAAGAUGGCUAGCAAUUAGUCAACGCCCCCCUCCCUUACCAACCAUGGCACUGUUUUACACAAGGUGCUUGCAAGAGCUGCCAAAGAUAACAGUGACAGAUGUACGUCGUCUGGCCAAGACAAGUAGCAAAGCACCGACCUCCAAGUUGGAAAAAGGAUUCAAACUUUAUGUCUCCAGUUACCUUUUCAACUAUGAAGGUAAGUGUAGCCAAGUUGCCUAUCAGACCAGACAAGGAUGUUUACUCAAAGCUGUAACAUAGUUUAUGACAUGCCUUUAACAGUAGCUAGCUAACAUUAUGAUUGCUCAUUCUUUUUAUUCAAAACAGUUUCGAACAGGGACAAAGUGACAGGAGAGGUCAGCAUAAGGGCUUGCUGCUACAGGUCCAUGAGGAAAAAUUUGAAACCACACAGUUUGAGUGUAGGGUGAAAAGUCAGCUGUUUGUGAGACACUACAUGCCGGUUACACAGUCAGAGAUGAAGCCUAGUCUUAGACUAAGAAGUUCCUGUCAAUGGAGAUCUGCAUUAAGAGGCAUUGCUUAGUCUAGGACUAGGCUUAACCCAUGUCUAUGAAACUGUUCUUAGUGUAGUAACUGUUCAGUCUUCCUUGCUGUUUCUGUAAGCUGUGUUAUGUUGGACGCAUUAGAUUAAAUUUAAACAAGGGCAUAUACCCUUAAUAGAAAAGUUUAAACCCGUAUUGCUGUAAUGAAUUUAGUGGCUGUUGCAUGUUGCGCCAGUCACUUCUGUUUGCUGGUCGUGACACAUGUUGAGUGAUUUUAUAGUCUAAUCAUUUUCUUUUUAUAUCCCCACGUAGGUUGUACUGAAGCCCUCUGAGCCAGUAACAAUGGCACAACAUCACUGUUCAUGUGCUGCUGGCACUGCAUUAUGCAACCACACAGUUGCAUUACUAUUCCAGUCUGCACACUAUUCCCAGAUGGGAACACCAGUUGUCCCACCUGUGCACAGCUGCACAGAGGCCGAGCAGCAGUGGCAUAAGCCAAGGACUAUGAGUCUGAAACCUGGGCCCAUAGGCAAAAUGACCAUCACCAAGCCCACCAAAAAGAGCAUGGCAGAAGGAGGGAUGAGAAGUACACUCUACAGCGCCCUUCUUGAGCCGCUCCCUGACCUCUCAGUUCUCCAGAUAGAAGAGGCAUAAAAUAACUUUCACCCUCUAUCCAAGCCAUUGAUCUGCAGCAUGGGGAUGUCUGCUGAAAAGCUUUUAGUCGACUCCCACUUCGGAAAGGUACAGGUGGGGAGCCUCCUGUCUUACCAGCAGCCUUCAAUCACAACGUGACACAUAGUUCACCAUAAGGAGACACCACCAUUCCCUUCACUGCCCCUGGAUGGCUACAGACUGGAGAGCAACUUUCAAGGCUGCACAUUUGUGCUCAGUGAAGAAGACCAGCUUCACAUAGAGUAUCUUCAGGUGAGCUUCGCAACAGCCCAUAAAAUAGAGGAAGCUACUAGAGAACAGAGUGCUGUCUCCGACUGGCAGGUGCUCCGGAAACCAAGACUGACCUCGUCACGGUUCCGAGAGGCUUGCCAUGUGAGAGGGCUGACAUCCGCAGGCAAUCUAGCUGAAAGGAUCCUCAAAGGCACAGCACCAACAGCUGAUAUGAAGAGGGGACUGGAGUUGGAGAUGGAAGCAGCCAGUGACUACUGCAAGAUGCAGAAUGUCAACUUCUCACCCUGUGGCCUCAUCAUACAUCCUAACAUCCCUUGGCUUGCCUCUUCUCCUGAUGGCCUGGUCUACGACCCUCUCGAGCAUCCACCUUUUGGCCUAGUUGAGAUUAAGAACCCGAACGUAAAGGGUUUUGUGGCUUGCAAGUACGUUCACAUGCAUAACGGUGUACCUUCCCUGAAGAGGCAGCAUACCUACUACUGGCAAGUUCAAGGUCAGCUCUACAUCACUGGGUUGGAGUGGUGUGACUUUGUUGUCUGUGCGCAUGAGGACAUUCUGUUCGAGAGAAUACAUAGAGACCCAGUGGUGUUCUCUCUAAUUAGAGAGAAGGGUGACUGGUACUACUUAUAUGUGUACAUGCAAAAGUUCUUAGGCAGGAAACACUAAAUAACUACGGACAGGCUCCUUUAUCUUUCAAUUAAUGAAAGAGAAACAAACCAACAAAUCUAUCUGUGCAAUUAAUUAAUUAAUAAACCUUUUUUUUC